UGACGAAACAGAGAAGAAACAGGGAGAAAGAAAGAAAGAAGAAAAUAAGGAAAAUAGGGUUUUGAGGCUUGAAAUUUAAUUUGCUAACAAAGAACCCGAGGCAUCAGCAUCAAAAGGAAAAGGGAAAGCUAUCGAGGACUAAAGCGGGAGAUUUACGGUCGAUAGAAGUCAAAGGUCCCGGUUCAGCAUCCAGAUUAAUCGCGACUUCAGCAUAACUUUGGUGAUGUAUAUUUUCCUUUGGGUAAUGUGGCAUGUACAUAGGAU